rnacentral:rRNA from 1 species
GUGGGGAAUUUUGGACAAUGGGCGAAAGCCUGAUCCAGCCAUGCCGCGUGCAGGAUGAAGGCCUUCGGGUUGUAAACUGCUUUUGUACGGAACGAAAAGACUCCUUCUAAUAAAGGGGGUCCAUGACGGUACCGUAAGAAUAAGCACCGGCCAACUACGUGCCAGCAGCCGCGGUAAUACGUAGGGUGCAAGCGUUAAUCGGAAUUACUGGGCGUAAAGCGUGCGCAGGCGGUUAUAUAAGACAGAUGUGAAAUCCCCGGGCUCAACCUGGGAACUGCAUUUGUGACUGUAUAGCUAGAGUACGGUAGAGGGGGAUGGAAUUCCGCGUGUAGCAGUGAAAUGCGUAGAUAUGCGGAGGAACACCGAUGGCGAAGGCAAUCCCCUGGACCUGUACUGACGCUCAUGCACGAAAGCGUGGGGAGCAAACAGGAUUAGAUACCCGGGUAGUCC